rnacentral:rRNA from 1 species
UACGGGGGGGGCAAGCGUUGUUCGGAAUUACUGGGCGUAAAGGGCUCGUAGGCGGCCAACUAAGUCAGACGUGAAAUCCCUCGGCUUAACCGGGGAACUGCGUCUGAUACUGGAUGGCUCGAAUCCGGGAGAGGGAUGUGGAAUUCCAGGUGUAGCGGUGAAAUGCGUAGAUAUCUGGAGGAACACCGGUGGCGAAGGCGGCAUCCUGGACCGGUAUUGACGCUGAUGCGCGAAAGCCAGGGGAGCAAACGGG